UAAUUAUCAACUCCACCACCACUUGCUCCCCACCCAACAAAUGCAAUAUUCACUCUCAUUUCAUUUUCAUCCAACAGUUCAGAGGAUCAAUUCCAGUUCGUUUCAGCCGAAGCUCUCAAGGUAAUGCUUGGCUUCAAUGCUUUCUUCUCCUUUGAUUAAGUUCAUCCUGCAAUUGUUAAGCAAAUAAGCAAUUUAUUUCAGUUUCUAUCCACUGAUUCAAACACCACAGCAGCCAACAUCAAUUUACAGCAACUCACUCCUGGAGAAAUCAACUUAUUUUCAUAAGAGGUCAAGCGCGAGAGUAAGAACUACACAAGGAGUUAGAGUACCUUAGCAAAACUUUGCUAUCAGGUUGAGCUGUGAUGGGCGAUGAAGUGUUGCUGAGUGGAGUUUUUGUUGAACUUAAAGUAGGCUCAGAAAGGAUACAUGUCUUCAUACAUGUAUCUCAGUUAUGCAUUCCGCUGUAAACACGGAUUAUUUCAGUUACACCUUCCGUUGCAAACUCUGAUAAUGUUUUAGCCAAGCCCCUAACGAUGCCUUUUUCCUUUUAAGGAAUAUAACGCGUAUACAAGUUCUUUGAGUACCCUUUUUAUGCGAACUAUGUCUUUUUCCUUUUA